rnacentral:rRNA from 1 species
CCUACGGGAGGCAGCAGUAAGGAAUAUUGGACAAUGCUCGCAAGAGUGAUCCAGCCAUGCCGCGUGCAGGAAGACGGCCCUAUGGGUUGUAAACUGCUUUUGAACUAGAGAAAACCCUCCUACGUGUAGGAGGCUGAUAGUAUAGUUAGAAUAAGCAUCGGCUAACUUCGUGCCAGCAGCCGCGGUAAGACGAAGGAUGCAAGCGUUAUCCGGAUUCAUUGGGUUUAAAGGGAGCGUAGGUGGACUGAUAAGUCAGUGGUGAAAUCUCUCGGCUUAACCGAGAAAUUGCCAUUGAUACUGUUGGUCUUGAGUACAGUUGCUGUGGGCGGAAUAUGACAUGUAGUGGUGAAAUACAUAGAGAUGUCAUAGAACACCGAUUGCGAAGGCAGCUCACAAAGCUGUAACUGACACUGAGGCUCGAAAGUGCGGGGAUCAAACAGGAUUAGAUACCCUGGUAGUCCGCACCGUAAACGAUGAUUACUCGCUGCUGGGAGGUAACUUUCAGUGGCUUAGCGAAAGCGAUAAGUAAUCCACCUGGGAGUACGCCGGCAACGGUGAACUCAAAGGAAUUGACGG